rnacentral:lncRNA from 1 species
AUAGAACUCUUAUCCUAUACCUUCUACUAGGUCAUGUCACAGAUGAUGUCGGUGUUUCUACUCCAGCUAAAGAAGGAAUUAUGCAAGGAAACGGAGCACGAUGUGUUGUAGGGUUUCCUCCAUGCAAAGAUAACAAGUGCUACUGCUGCAUUGGGGGGCGAACUCAUGCUCGCUACUCUACGAUGGCUGAGUGUAGACAUGCCUGCUUCUAAACAAAAAUUAAGAUCGCUGUUAUUAUAUACAUUGUAAUGGUAGGUAAUGCUAUUAAUAAUAUAUGGGAAUUUUAGUUUUGGUAUUAUACUUUUUUCCAAUUCACAAAAUUUAGUCAAAAUCUAACCAGUUUUUUAGAGGACUUAAAUAUAAAGUAUAUUUCCCUAUAAAUUUUAAUGAAAAAAAUAUUAGAAUGCUUUGGGAUGCCUCCAUCAGCUCGUGGAUGCUGUUGCGGAUAGACAACAGUAUCGGUAUAAAUCUCACUGCACAGAAUGAGGACGUUUCUAGGAGAACGUGCAUUCGGUCACGUUAGCGGAAAAAUCCUGAGUAGCAGUAGUUGCCUCCCAUAUCGGUGUCAACACCACGAAUGUUUCGUGCGACACAGAAGGUUUGCGGCUUGCUGUGGCAUUAAUCCGGCUGCGGCUUGUACAGUAUUUUGUCUCUAUGGAUUGCAGCUGCAGCCGUCUGAACAUCUGCAGGUCCUGUGGUUACAGGGCAGCCGAACAAGUCGUUGGUGCGAGGUCGGAGCAGUGGCAACCUGAUGCUCAAGGUGGUUCCAGAUGUCCACUCAGACAGAUGCUAGAGGCUUUUGGAUGCGACAUGCCUCUUCAGGGGAAGUGGAUCCUAAAGCCGAUGUUGCCCGCUAGGAGCAGGGUGCUCCAAGCCAAGAAACAUCCCAGAAAGGGAAGGAGGUGGCGCCGAACGAGGGUGGAUCAAGCGACGAUCGCAAUAGGUCACCCGAUUGGGGAGACUCCUCGCAAAUAGUAACGAUAAGGUCAUUAGGACCUUUUGGGGGCACAUGGCACGAUCAUGAGAGUUAGACUUCCUUGUUAGACUUUCUUUUUUUGCCACAUCCUUACAUCUAUUUUCUCAGCCCUAUGACGUCAGCCCCUUGUAGCACCCCAAAAAUGCAAACCUAGAAAAUUUCUCAAACUCGCUCUAAAUUCAAAAUGAAUUUUAAAUUUUGUUUCAAAAUGUUUUCUUGCGAGUUGAUCUCAACAAAAAAAAUAUAGUGGUCUGCCUUAUCUCCGAAAUUCUUUUCAAAAUAUCCUACAAAUAUUUCCCUAGUGAUCCCCUCAAAUUCUUUUCAGAAAUACUGGCUAAAUGUUCCACCGAUAUUUCUCCAAAUAUUUUUCUCCUAAGAAAUACCCUCGGAAUCACUUUUAAAAUCCCUACAAAUAUUUUCUUAAUAAUUUUCCUUAUGCUCAUACAUAUACAUACGCCUCCGGGGUCAUACAGUGAGCUCUACAAGCUAAUUUCACUUAUCCAUAGCUAAUACAUGGUUUAUCUCUCACUAAUCCUCGCCUCCUCCCACUAAUCCUCGACUCCUUCGCCUAAUCCCCCACCUUGCCCAUUAAUAAAGGGGCAAGGGGCCCACUCAUGCCAUCCCAAGCCAUUUCAUGGCUACUCAAUCCCACUCACUAACUUACUCCCACUCCGACACAAGCACAACACGCGCACAAGGAUAAUUCGGUUGUUCAUUCAAUUGUUCGUCCAAAUGUUCAUAGUUCAUUCGUUCGUUCCUCCGAUUGUUCGAUCAUCCAUCCGAUAGUUCAUGGUUCAUUUGUUCAUCCGUCCGAUCAUUCGAUCGUUCGUUCGUUCGUGUCCAAAUAAUCUUUGUCCAGCCAUUAUACUGACAAAAUUCUGAUCGCUCUUUCGUCCGAUCGUUCAUCCGUUCGUUCAUAAUCCAUGUUCAUCGUUCGUUCCUAUGAACUAUUCAUUGUUUGUUCAUAAUACCUAUUCAUCGUUCGUCCAAACGAACUAUUCAUCGUUCAUCGAAUAAUUCAUAAUCACUAUUCAUCGUUCAUCGGAUCGUUCAUCCUACUAACCAUCGUUACUUAUUAUUGUUCAUCUGAUCGCCCAAAUAUUCAACUACUCAUCCAUCAUGAUGAUGAGCUCACCUAAAACCUGCUAGACUAAUAUCUCAGCCAUACAAACUCUGGUGACUGUGAUUUUCCUUCCAGUUAGAACUUCACGAUUGGUCACCCAUCCCAGAAUUGCUCUAAGUUGAGAACGCUUAACUUCGAGGUUCUUUCGAACCAGGCUUUCAAAAAGAAAGGCGAACCAUGUUUGUACAGAUAUGUAGCACCCCGAAAAUUCAAAUCUAGAAAAUUUCUCAAACUCGCUCUAAAUUCAAAAUGAACUUUUAAAUUUUGUUUCAAAAUGUUUAUUUGCAAGUUGAUCUCAACAAAGAAAAUAUAGUGGUCUAUAUUCUCUCCAAAAUUCUCCUCAAAAAGACCUACAAAUAUUUUCCAAGUGAUCCCUUCAAAUUCUUUCAGAAAUAUUGCCUAAAUAUUCCAAAUAUUUUUGUAGUUUGUUCAUUCGUUCGUCCAAAUAAUCUUUGUUCAGUCGUUAUGCUGCCAAAAUUCCGAUCGUUCGUUUGUUCAUUAUCCCUAUUCAUUGUUCGUUCAUACAAACUAUUUAUCGUUCAUCGUUCCUUCAUAAUCCAUAUUCAUCGUUCAUCUUUCGUUCAUAUGAACUAUUCACCGUUAAACGGAUCAUUCAUAAUCAUUAUUCAUCGUUCAUCCUACUAUACAUUGUUACUCCGAUCUCCCAAAUAUUCAACUUCUCAUCCAUCAUGAUGAUCAACUCACCUAAGACCUACCAGACCAAUAUCUCAGUCAUACAGACUCCGGGGACUGUGAUUUUCUUUCUAGUAAGAACUUCCCCUUUGGUCACCCAUCCAAGAAUUGCUCCAAGUUGAGCACGCUUAACUUUAAGGUUCUUUCGAAACAAGCUUCCAAAAAGAAAGGUGAAACAUGUUUGUAUGGAUACACCGUCAAUCUUAUAAAUCCUGGCCCAAGAUACCACAGCCCGUCCAGACGAGAAUAUCGCAGUAUUCCAGUUGUUUGGGUGCUGCCUUACUCUUGUCCGACAACAGAGAAGGUAGGAACAAUUGCCACCAACAUAAGUAUCUGCUCAUGAACAGUCCAGAAAUAAUUCAUGGCACUUUGCUUCCAAAUAUCUCUAAAUAUUGUAAUUUUGGAAUAUUCUAGGAAUAUUCCUUUUCCCUUUUCCUUUUAUAUUCCUAUGAUUAUAAAAACCAAAACUCCUUUGUCCAGUCUCUCAUUUUGACAGUUCUGAUUUCUAAAUUCUUAUCAAAUUACCCUCUAUCCAUCCAUGUAAUUCCGUAAGCAUGGUUCAUAUUGUAGAAAACUCCAAAAAUAGUCUUGUCCCAUAUUUCACCUAUAAUUUUCUAUCCAAACUGAUUCUUUCACCACGAUUCUCAUAAACAGUAAACUCUACCAUACUAAACCAUACGCACCCAUCUAUAAAUACCUCCAGAGAGUUACCCUCUCCCUUCCACACCCUCAACAACCUGAGCUAAGGCAACCACCCCCCGCACUCAGUUACCUCCCUCUGCCACUACACUUCUAGUAUUGGUCCACCUCCAAUACACUCUUCGGGUAAGCAUCUCUACUCCAUCAACACAAACUAUACUCAAAACUAUAUUCACCCAUCUACCACCAUUCCUGACCACUAUAAUGAAUAUUUGUUGAUAUACUUGCUGAUUUGUAUGCUUGCUUGUUCAUGCUAUGUAGUUAUCGGAGCGUUCAUGCUGUCUUGUGAAGGCCAGUUCUGCAAGUCUACGCCAGACGGUGGAGCCAGAAGCCAAUUCCACGAGCUCUCACCCUUUCACUGGUUAAAGCAUGGCAAGCUCACUGGAUCCCUUUGAUGCAUAAAUUACAUAUGUUUUUCAAAGACAAUCAUCAGCAUGUUAUUUUAUGCAUUAUAUGAUUUUUCUGCUAAGAGACAUGUUAAUAUGGCAACCUAGCCUUAGAACUUUGCCGCAAUUCAUCUUUAUACUCCUUAACAUUUUUGUUACAAAAAGGUUUGAAAAAAGGUGUGAGUUUUUCAAAAUAAAAUGUUUUUCAAAAUGUGUAUGAUGAAUGGUUAUCACCCUUAUCACCUUUGAGUGGGAUGAUCAGGGACUCCUCGGUGUUGGGUGGGCCUUAAGGUGAUGGCUUAGCCCGGUUAGGUGUGAGAAUGAAGAAUUACCCCUCUCGUAUAAGGACCGGUAUGCCAUUCUUCACUGUCUAUAGUCUUUUCAAGUACAACCACUCAAGACCAUAUGGGCAGUCACUUGAUCCAAACUUGCACGGUCGGCACCCUAGGGUUAUGUUGGCUGGCGAGCACCAGGAGGACAAGGAGGGGGAAAGUUUUGUCCUGGUUUGGGCAUGGAGGUGGCCAUGUUACUUUUGGUAUAACUGUUAAGGUAAAGACAUGUAGGGGAGGAGAGAGUUUCGGUAAUCCGAUCUCACGACGGUGAGAUUGCAGAAACCGGACUAUUGGGUGAAGUGUACACCUCUUCACAGAGUUUCAAAACCUAUUCGAAUAGUCCGCGUCCACGGAUAUGAAUGAGUUAUGACUUGGUUUGACAAUUAGUAUGUUGUUUUCCAAAAAUGCUUUUGACAAUUGGUUUCAAAAGUUUUGAUGGUUGAGUUGUGAGCUAUGGUGGACGGGAAGUCCAAUAGCUGUUUUUGAAAUUGAAAAUGAAAACCGUUGGGAAAUUACCGAGAUUCCUGGAUGGUUUAGUCUAGGGGAUUUUGUUCUAUAUAAAAAAAUUCCUGCUCCUUUGGAAGAGGAAGCAUUUUGAAAAAAGAUAAAAUGUUUUACAAAAUAGCCCUAAACCCUAAACCAUAAACCCUACUGCAUAGAGAACCCCCUACAUCAAGCAUGUUUACUAAUGCAGGACACCAAGACUUGCAGGACACCAAGACUAAAGAAUAUGUAUAACUAUUCACAGAAUUUCUUUGUACAUAUAACAUAGAAGAAAUUUUGAUUGUCCUCAAUGAACACAAUCAGGAUGAAAUAAUAACAGAAGGACAUUAAAUAAAAACAGUGUUAAUAAACGUAGAUGAGGUAACAAAAACAUAUAUCUCGUGAAAUGAUUUUUUGAGGUCAAAGUGCAAGGUGGCAAUAAAAUGAGAGAAUUCCCUAUUUAACGCUACUAUAUGAGUGCUUCCUUCUAUGGCCAUGAAAAUUACAUACUCAAUGGAUGCAGGAUCUAACUUUUAUUCUUAAUAACACUAAUGUUAACUAUUCCAUCAAGACAAUGAUGAGUGCCAUGUGAAAAGAUGGGGCUGCACUUAUGGUUUGCAAUUCUGCAAGUAACAGCUAGAGCAUCAGGUGGUGGAGCAUUUGUGUUUCAAGCAUUUGUGUUAAAAACCAUCCGAUAUCAAAAUUAGCAUUUGUGUUUUAAUUCCAUCCUUUGAUGUGUUUUUAUUUGCUAUCACCAUUACCUUGUUAUCCAUCGAUCUUGCCUUGAUACUUAUCUUUGUGCCUACUCUUUAAAACCUCCUCUCUUCCACCUCAAUUUGAGAGCGGCAAUUUACCUAUCUCGCCCUUGGACGUACCCUCUCCUUUUCCAUUUGAAGGUCCGGUAUUAACUCCAUUAUUUAUGGUACUUAUACCCUUCGUCUUAUGCCUAUUUAUCUCCUCUCAUACAUCCUUGUCUGUUAUUACCUUAAAAACCCUCAUGAUAUCUAUGCCCAUGCCUUCCUGCUUACCUUGAACCUACCCUUUGAAGCCCCCUCUUUUCCAUCACUGUUCAAGGAUAAUGCCUCAUCUAUUUCAUCAUUCACUACUCCCUUUCUUUGACACCUUGCAAGUUUUAUCUAAAAUACAUUCAUUGGUUGUGUGUUUUUUUGUGAUCACCUUAACCCUUGUCAUCCAUCGAUCUUGCACCUUGAUGCUUAUCAUGUACCUGUAUUUUAAAGCUUCCUCUCCCAUUUGAGUUCAUGAGUGUUGUCUUACACCUCCUGCUCUUAUUCGUUCCCUAUUCCUCUGUCGUGUUGCAAGUUGUAACACCCCAGGUGUUACUCAGGGUGUCCAUCCCAGGGUUACCCCCUUUUACCCAUUAUCACAUGAAGACUGAUUUGGGCAAAGUAUACCAAACUUGGAAUUCUAGGUCCUAAGCAAGUGUAAUCCACCUUGGAUGUCAUGCCCUAGCUUAUCAUGCACAUCUAAGUGGGGUUCUCCCAAAACCCUAAAGCAAAACCCCCAUAGGCAAUGGGAACCCUAAUUGAAGCCAUGAUCAAAAGAUUAUGUAAACCUUAUGAUCAUGGUUUGGGCCAAAUAUAAAAGUUGUAGUACACUUAAUAACCUACAAUUAAUAGUAAGGAAGUACCCCCAAAAAGUUUCCAGAAAAGCCCUAAACAGUUCACCUAAGAUUUAGCACAAGGGAAAAUUCAGUUUUUGCCUAAGUACAAAAACUAACCCUUGCACAAAGACUCCACAUGUUCACCUUAAUCCCCUUUUCAAAACCCUUCGACCCAAUUGACAAAAUGGCGCCAAAUUAACCCUAGGACACCCUGGAAAGAGAUGACACCUACCCUAGGGCGCUAGACACGACUUGACACCCCUUUUGUCUCGGUUCGGGCUUGGCUGACACAGCAAACUUCUCCCCUCUCUAUCUCCCUACCCCGACCAUAUCUCGACUUGGAACUCACAGCGAAAAGAUAGGAUUUGGAGCAGAGAAGCGACCGUACACAGUGACUUUGCCAAGAUACGCACGCUAUGGCGCUCUAAUCGGCCGUUGAACCAUGGCAGAAGCAAGCUUCCACGUGUUCGACGCGAGCUGGCAUCCGGGGGCGCGCUCAGAGCACGCCCGUGCGCGAACCCCCGCGCACCCGCGGCCGCCCGUGACCACGCCCGCGCCACGGCUAUAAAGCCCGCCCCAGUGCUUGGCUGCCUUCCCCGUUACCUCCUCCGUACCUCGCCGGACUCGCCCGAGCCAGCCAUUAACUCCGGCGACCUCCCCGCGACCCGCCAGUGCCGCCCGAGAGCAACCACCGUGGCCAGCCCCUCUCCCGUCCUCCUCCGUUCGAUCCAAGCCCUCAGAGAGCUUCCUGGUGAAGCCGUGAGUCUUGCUCAAGCUUGACCCAGGGACCCGCGUCACCGGAAUAGCCCAAUCGUGCGCACCGGAGUUCAAGAACCCGCCGGCGCACGUGGACCGGGUAAGCCCCUGCACCAUUUUCCAAUUCCUUGCGCGUAUGGCCUCUGUGUCACCCCGUGAAGCUCCUCGUGCACCCUAAUUGAUCUAUGCCGCCGUGGUUUGGCCGGAGCAGGAGCCGCCGACGACCCCCACCGCCUGUGCUCGUGGCCAGGGUAGCUCCGACCACCUCCGACACCGACCCGCACAUCGGCGUGACCGUUGCGACCUCCUGGACGUCACUGACCACCCCGCCGGAGCUCUACUGCCGCCGGUAAGCCCCACCGCCGUAAAAUGUACCGCGGGCACUGUUUAAGCCGGUCAGGGAGCGCGGGUUAGAUUUUAGUUAAGUCCAGGGGGCUUGGCGCAAUGUCAGUGACUCAAGCCAAUAGUGGACCAAGGGCUGUUCUGUGAGAAAAGAAAAGGAAAAACCCCAGGGGCCUCGGCGUAAACACGUUUUCUUUUUCUAUUUUCGAAUUUCUUUUCUUUUGUUAAAACAGAUAGCUAAGUAAAUGCAUAACUUGCAGAAUAAUCAUCCAAAAAUGUUCAAACCAAUUUUGCUAGAUUCAGAAAUUUAUGAGCUAUCAGAGAAAAAUAAUAGAACCCAUAGCUUCUGUAUUUCUUUCUGAAGUUUAGAAUUAAAUAAGGAAACCACUCAAAACCCAAUAUUAGGAGGAAAAAUAGGAAUAUUGUUUGACCAGGGUUAGAAAAAUUUGGAGAAACUUCUAUCUACCUACUAGACCAAGUAAAAAUGUUAAACCUCUCUGUCCACUCCAUUUAAGUUAGUUUUACCCUUUAUUCUAUAAUAUGCUUAAGAAUAAGGAAAAUAGAAAAUGCAACUUAAUUAAUGAACCAGAGAGUACUUCUAUUUUUGUUAGGUUACUUAUUCAAUAUAGUUCACUGGAAAAAUAUAUCAUACCUUGGUUUAGUACAAAUUAAGUAGGAUAUCUUUUAUUUUAUUAAAACAAGGAUAACUUAGAAAAACCCUACAAAAAUGACCCCAAGGUAAAAACACCCCCACCCUUGGGAUGACUAUUGUUUUAUUAGAGAGAACUUAGGAAAAAUAUGAAAUCUGCUGUUUGACAUUUUUCAAAUAAUAUUGUAGUAGAAAGUGCCAUUUUGACAUUAAACUUAAGAAAAGCAUAACUAAAUAACCACCCCUUAGUUUUCUGUAAUUUUUAGCACAGAAACCUAUUAUUACCAUAGGAUGCCAACAAAAAUACCUUUAGGCAGAACCCACCCCUAACUAAGAGGUGUAGUGUGAAGUGGCCCAUUUUGCCUAACUUUUGUUAUUUUUGUUUAAAGCCUAACUUUUAUACUUUAAGCCUCAAAUUCUUAAAACAAGCUAGAAUAGCCAGUGAUAACCCACUGGAAUUUUUACAGAAUUUUUGGAAAAUUUUAAAACCCUGUUGUAGUUCAAACCUACCCCAGAAACCCUAAAUGGAAAUUAAGGAAAGGAAAAUGAAUAAUGGAAAUUUAUGUCAUCUUAAGACCUUUGUAAAUUGUCCACUGAAAUCUAUAAAUACAACACCAAUCCACUAUAAUAAUCUAAAAGAAAACCUAAUCUUAAAAGGUAAUAAGUCUAUAUCUAUGUAUACCACUGGAAGCCCAGCGUGACUAAGAAAACCCUAAGUUACUUCUUAACUUAGUUUCUUUAGCUUAUUGUUCUUAAAUCCUGCAUAAUCAUGACAUACAUGUUCAUUGCAUUUCGAUAGACUGUAAUCUUGCUGACGGAGAGUACAUCCUCGUGCCGGAGCAAGGAGCUGCUCAGGAGGUAGCCCCAGAUCCAGCACCCGAGCCUGCACCAGAGGACCUGCCUGCCACAGCUUUGGAAGGCAAGCCCCGGUUUUAUGCAUAACCUGUUAUUAUACUAGUUUACUUCACUUAAUGCUUGUAGGAUUGAUUGUGCACUUAAGUGUAGGAAUUGUUUGAAACCCUAGUUGCAUGAUCUCAGGAAUCCCAUUGAGAUGAAUACUAGUAUGAUAGGUCGAGUAGUUGCUUUAUUUAAUUAGGAUCUCGGUAGAAGACGAGUGAUUUUUCUAGCACUCGCGCGAGAUCAGGGAUUUGACUGUACCCACUUUCACAUUAUCAUGGUACUGGUUGAUGGACAACAAUCCAUGGGGAUUGGUUGUCUACGAGAUGAAAUUUGAAUAAGGAUUAAGGUGUGGUACCGUGUGUCAAGCGUUUGAACGUACUAAACACAUACCGAGAAAUAUGGUAAAUCGGUAAGCCUAGUACCUGAUUGAACCUGGCAGUAGACUUUGCCCCUCACGCGACCUGAGACGAGGUCUCCCAUUCCGGUUAUGGUGGGUACAAGUGCGGUCACUGCACGACGGCCAGUCGGGGUCAGUGAGGCAUUGUAAGCCAAGGCGGUGAGCCCUGUUCUGCUGACGAGGAAUCGAUGGGGACGGUUGAUAUGUGUGGGGACGGAGUGCCCCUGCAUGUCGUGUGUUUAGGUUUACCUUGCAAGGAUAAAAACUCGAUUCGAAUCGUCUACUUCUCGCAGUUAAUGAGACUGCUUGAUCCAUGCUGCUACAUUGAGUAAUAAGUGGAAGUAUGAUGAGUUGAGAUAAGAUGUUGAUUGUUAAUAAUGCUUGCUACCAUGUAUGAGUAGAUAGUUCACUUUUAGCCUUAAGAGAGUCACACUUAACUUUGACUAAGUUAAAAUCUUGAUUUAGAAACUCAGCUAGUGCUUUUGGCAACCAAACCCCACAUCCAAACAGCUGCAUGUCUAGAGGUAGAGGAGUAGACUCCUCACACCGGGUAAGUCUAGCUGAGUAUUAGUAUACUCAGCCUUGCUUGUGGCAUAAUUUUUACAGGUUCUCUGGAGGAGAUGGUUGCUGGGAUAACUUGGCCGUCCACCUUGCCACCGGGUUGGACUGUUGAGUGGGACCCUGCCUCGGCCGAGGAGGAGCAUGAGGAGUGAUGGGACAGGCUUCCCCAUCUCUCUGUUUGAUUACCGUUAGUUUUAUUCCGCUGCACUUCGAACAAUGAUGGUUACUUUUGCAAAAACUCCGAUGAUGAUGAUGGUGAUGUAAUAAUUUAACAUUGUGACAUGAAUGGUUUUAUGCUUUAUUGUAUUUGCUCUGUGACUCACCUUCGAGUGAGAUUGUGGUACUUGAUCCUGUCAGUGGCCGUGUCGAACUAGAUCCGAGGGAUUGACGGGUUAUUCCCAUUUAAGUGUGGUCUAGCCUCUGAGGCGGGAUUUGGGCACUUAAGUUGGAAUAAUUCGGGCAGUUCCGCCAGAGCUGGUAUCGGAGCUUGUACCACCACAGAGGAAUCAAUAAAAUGUAAAUACCAUCAAUUUUUCUAAAUAAAAACUGAAUAGAAACAAGGUUGGAUAGAUAGCAGGACGAUCAGGAUAGACCUAGGACGUGAAGCCUUAAGAUAAGAGAAGGGUAGCUAGGUGGCUAAGUAACUAGGCCCUACAGGCCACUUUUACAGGAUGGGAGUUCCUCCCUAUUCCUUUUAUCUUGUUGUGAGGCCGUUCAGGACGAGCAUGCAUGCAUUCAUAAUUAAGCAAUGGAUAACUGAGUAAAGGACUUAAAAACAAGAUAACAACCAACUAGGUCCCUAGUGCCUUUUUACUUAACUAGAGAAGGGCUGAGUUUUAUUUUCCUUGUUCUUUUUAUAAUUCUUUUUCUUUUACAUACGCUUAACCGUACACAGAUGACUUCCCACGGAUCCUCCGAUGACGGAAAUGCACUGACCCACACUGACGGACUUGCACGAGAGGGCUUUCCCCGCAUUUUGUGGGAAGUACUUCAGGGGGCCGGAUAAACGACACCCCCUCAGUACGCGGUGCAGCAGUUCGAGAAGCACCGAGUGCCUCGCUGUAGGGUGAGGAUGACCUUGGAGCCUCAUCCCCUGCAGCCAGGAUGGCGCUCCUUGGACUCCGAGUCUUUCGGGUACCGAGCAGAGGACACGAUCGAGGCGAUCGCUCUGCAUGGGUUGACUACCUUCUGUGGAUUCCAUCCCUUGGAGCUGGCUACCCACCCCAUUGGCUUGUUCCCCGCUGAGAAGGAGGACGACCCAAUGUGGAAGGAUCGGGUGGAGCAUGCCAAGGACAUCUGGGCCAUCUACCCAGGUCAGACUGCGCAUUUGACAGUACGGUGCAUGAAUGCUCUGUACCGUCUGCAGGUGAUGCGCGGUGAGGCAAUGUCCCAUCUGAUGGCACUGCUGGAAGCAACAAAGAUCACGCUGGAUAACUGAGAGGAGCUCGUGGUUGACCUAUCUCAGGAAAUGGUGGAGAAGGAUUUGCAGGUGGAGCAGCUAUCCACUGAUAUUCAGGAGUUGGAGGAGCUGGUAGGCACCAGGGAGAACACCAUCGAGGUUCUCGAGGAUCAGCUCGUUAACACUCAGCAGCAGCUUGCUGAGGCUAACGAGCACCUGGACAUGCAUCACCAAGAGAUCCAGGACCAGGAGGCCAACGAGGACGUCGACAUUGAGGGAGGAGAUGAGCCUGCCUCCAGUGUGGACACCGCUGGCUCGGGAAGACCACCUUCCCCCGAGUCAAGUGUUGCUUCGUUCGCUCACUAGGUGUCCAGGGUAGGCUUAGAAGUUGGACAGUCGGACUCCUCGCAGCUAGCUUAGCUUUUGCACCCUUGGGGUACUAGGCUAGGUAGAGUUGAGUCAUUUUGGAACAAUUUGAUGUAACCGUGUUGAACUCUCUUGGGAGCUUGUUUGAUGGAUGCUAUUAUCAGUUUAAAUUUGGAAGGAGAAUAUUAUGCCUCUUUAAACUCCCUUUUUUUGAAGUUAGAGCCUAUCAUGCUGUUUUAACUUUUUCCCCGUGAUGAAAUCUUGAAAUUUGAACUGUGGUGUUAAGUAAGUAUGUGGUUUUUCAGAUGGCCGGAAGGCAGCGUCGUGGCCAGAACGAGCGCGUUCCUCCACCGCCACCACCACCUCCCACUCUGCAGGAGCUCAUGGCUCAGCAGAAUGAGAUCCUGAGGCAGCUUGCUCAACGUCAGCCACCACCUCAGCAUUAUGGUGGUGGGGACCACCAACGUCACCCCGCGGCGGCCACCUAUCAGGAAUUCCUCAGCACCCAGCCUCCACUGUUCACAAGGGCGGAGGACCCACUUGACGCAGAUGUAUGGCUGCGAGUGGUGGAAUCCAAAUUCCCACUACUCCAUGGAGUUUGCUCAGAGGUCACCAAAGUCAGGUUCGCCACCCAGCAGCUUCGCGGACCUGCAAGGACUUGGUGGGAUCAUUUUCUUGCUAUGCAGCCAGAGGACCGAGAGGUGGAGUGGAGGGAGUUUAAGGCAGCUUUUAGAGGACACCAUAUACCCGCCGGGAUCAUGGACAGGAAACUCAAUGAGUUCUUGGCACUCACUCAGGGCAACAGGACAGUGUUGUAGUAUGCCCAGGCCUUUAAUGACUUGUGCCAGUACGCGGGGUAUCAUGCAGAUACAGAUGAGAAGAAGAGGGACAGAUUCAGAAGGGGGCUCAGCACUAAGCUCCGGGAUCGUCUCAACACCGUCAGGGCCAACAGCUACAAUGAGUUGGUAAACAUGGCUAUCUCCCAAGAGGACUGCAUUACAGCUAGGCAGGCAGAAAAGAAGAGGAAGACCCCCGUGGCGGGACCCUCAGCUCAGCCACAUCGCUUCAGGAUUGUGUCCGACACCCAGGGCAGGGGGCCCCAGCAGCAGCAAGGGCGAUGGGUAAUCCGACCUCAGCAGCAGCAGCAGCAGGCACCCAACCGCACCCAAUUUCCAGUUCAGAGGGGCAAUCAACAGCAGCAGCAGUACCGCCAAGCCAAUGACAACAGGUGCUUCACUUGUGGCAACACUGGGCAUUAUGUCAAGAAUUGCCCCAGGAACCAGCAGAGGCAGGGGCAGAAUGUCAAUCAGAACCAAGGCAAGAGACAGAAGGUGCAAGUGAGGCAGGGCAGGCUGAACUUCACCACCAUGGCUGAUAUCCCAGAGGGAGCACCCGUCUUGACUGGUAUCUUUACAGUUUUGAAUUAUCCUGCUAUUGUUCUUUUUGAUUCUGGUGCAUCACACAGUUUUAUCAGUACCAAAUUUAGUGCCAAGUGCCAAUUGCCUUUUCACCACACCAAUGGGGGUAUCACAAUCUCAACACCAGGAGGCAGGGUUGCCUCCUAUCAGAUCUGUAGGCACGUACCAAUUAAGCUGGGUAGUCUCAUCUUCAAAACUACCUUAAUGAUAAUGGGAUUGGAUAGUGUGGAUAUCAUCUUAGGGACUGAUUGGUUGUCACGACACCACGCAGUGAUUGAUGUCGCAGCUAGAGCCAUAGAACUCCGCUCCCCUUUGGAUGGUGAGAUUACCUUAUAUCUACCCGACCAGGGAUGCACCCGUUCUUGUGCCUUUGUUAUGGUAGAAUCCCCAGUGGAAAAGAUCCCAGUGGUCUGUGACUAUCCGGAUGUUUUUCCGGAUGAAUUGCCAGGAAUGCCACCUGACCGAGAUAUUGAGUUCGCCAUCGAAUUGCAACCCGGGACCGCUCCUAUCUCCAAGAGACCCUAUAGGAUGCCUCCCGCGGAAUUGGCAGAAUUGAAGAAACAAUUGCAAGAGUUGUUGGACAAGGGGUUUAUUCGUCCAAGCACUUCACCAUGGGGAUGUCCAGCAUUAUUUGUGAAGAAAAAGGAUGAGAGUUUGAGGAUAUGUGUUGACUACCGCCCUCUCAAUGCGGUGACCAUAAAGAACAAAUACCCGUUGCCUCGCAUUGAUGUUCUGUUUGAUCAGUUGGUUGGAGCCAAGGUAUUCUCCAAGAUAGACCUUCGCUCAGGAUACCAUCAGAUCAUGAUCCGCGCUAGCGAUAUUCCCAAGACGGCUUUCUCUACCAGAUAUGGACUGUAUGAGUUUCUGGUGAUGUCUUUUGGGCUGACCAAUGCCCCGGCUUAUUUCAUGUACCUGAUGAAUUCAGUAUUUAUGCCAGAAUUGGAUAAGUUCGUGGUUGUCUUCAUUGAUGAUAUUCUGGUUUAUUCCAAAAAUGAAGACGAACAUGCUGAGCACCUGCACAUUGUGCUUCAACGACUGCGCGAUCAUCAUCUUUAUGCUAAGUUGUCUAAGUGUGAGUUCUGGCUGAAGGAGAUUAAAUUCUUGGGUCACACAAUUUCUCAGGAUGGGAUAUCAGUUGAUCCUGAGAAGGUGCAAGAGGUAAUGGAUUGGAAACCCCCGACUACAGUGAAGCAGAUUCGGAGUUUUCUGGGAUUAGCAGGGUAUUAUCGACGAUUUAUUCCGGAUUUCUCCAGAAUUGCCAAGCCAAUGACUGAGCUGUUGAAAAAGGGAGUCAAAUUUGAGUGGAGCCAAAAGUGUGAAGAUGCCUUCCAUACCUUGAGGCAGCAUUUGACAACAGCCCCAGUGCUGGCCCAACCUGACAACACCAAGCCAUUUGAAGUUUAUUGUGAUGCUUCUGGUACCGGAUUGGGAUGUGUUUUGAUGCAAGAGAAUAGAGUGAUUGCUUAUGCUUCCCGGGCACUCAGGCCCCAUGAGCAGAACUACCCUACACAUGAUCUAGAAUUAGCAGCUGUAGUUCAUGCUCUGAAGAUUUGGAGACACUACCUGAUGGGAGCUCACUGUAACAUCUACACUGAUCACAAGAGUCUCAAAUACAUCUUCACUCAGGCAGAUCUGAACAUGAGGCAAAGGAGAUGGUUAGAGCUGAUCAAGGACUAUGAUUUAGAAGUGCAUUACCACCCAGGUAAGGCCAAUGUUGUGGCAGAUGCCUUGAGCAGAAAGGCCCAGUGUAAUUGUAUGGGCAUGGAUGUGGGAGUGACCACCCUGUGUGAUGAAUUGUGCAAACUGAACCUGGAAGUUGUUUCUUCGGGUAAACUAAGCUAUAUCUCGGUGGAGCCCACAUUGCAAGAACAGAUUGUCAGGGAACAGGUUGAGGAUAAGGGUGUUCAGGUUAUCAAAGAUAUGAUCAAGCAAAAGGCAGAAAAAUACAAGUGUUUCCGACAGGAUAGCAAGGGAAUUCUAUGGUUUGGAGAUCGAUUGGUUGUUCCCAAAGACCCUGAGCUUAGAAAGAAGAUACUAGAUGAAGCUCACCUUUCAAAAUUCUCCAUGCACCCUGGUAGCAACAAGAUGUACCAUGAUCUCAGAUCUCUAUAUUGGUGGACUAGAAUGAAAAGGGAAAUUGCCAAGUACAUAUCCGAGUGUGAUACUUGCCAGAGGAUAAAGGCUAGUCACUUGAAGGCAGCAGGCCCUUUGCAACCCCUUCCCAUACCAUCUUGGAAAUGGGAGGACAUUUGUAUGGACUUCAUAGUGGGAUUACCCAAUACCUCCAGGCACCAUGAUUCUAUUUGGGUUAUCGUGGACAGGUUGACCAAGACUGCUCAUUUCUUGCCAGUGCAUACCACCCACAGGGCAGAGAAGUACGCUGAAAUUUAUGUUGAUCAGAUAGUAAGGUUGCAUGGUAUCCCCAAAACCAUUAUAUCUGACAGAGGAGCACCAUUUGUGGCACGAUUUUGGGAGUAACUGCAAGAGUCACUUGGGACCCAUGUCAUCCGAAGCUCAGCAUACCACCCCCAAACAGAUGGCCAGACAGAAAGGGUGAAUCAAAUUUUGGAAGACAUGUUGCGAGCAUGUGCACUACAUUAUGGAAAGGAUUGGGACAAGUGUCUGUCUUUGGCAGAAUUUUCUUACAAUAACAGCUAUCAGUCCAGUUUGAAGAUGGCACCUUUCGAGGCAUUAUAUGGGAGAAGGUGUAGGACCCCACUUAAUUGGUCUCAAGCAGGAGAAAGGGAAAUUUUUGGGCCAGACUUGGUACUCGAGGCAGAGGCAAAGGUCAGGGUGAUUACCAAAAACUUGGAAGCUGCUCAGGCUAGGCAAAGGAGCUAUCAUGAUAAGAGGCGGAAGCCUCUACAGUUUGAGGUGGGAGAUCAUGUCUAUCUUAAGGUAUCACCCACCAAGGGUGUUCAGAGAUUCGGGAUCAAGGGCAAGUUAGCCCCUCGCUAUAUUGGACCCUACGAGAUCAAGGAGGCUUGUGGACCCGUAGCCUAUCAAGUGGAAUUGCCACCUCACAUGUCAGCAGUUCAUAAUGUGUUCCAUGUAUCUCAGCUGCGGAAAUGCGUUCGUCUACCCACUGAAGUACUCCCGGAACCAGACAUUGAGAUAGAACCAGACUUAUCCUACCAAGAGUACCCCGUCAAGGUAUUAGAUCAAAAGGAGAGAUCAACUCGGGUAAGGUCGGUCAGAAUGUAUAAAGUUCAGUGGAGUCACCAUUCAGCAGAAGAGGCUACAUGGGAGACUGAGGAUUUUCUACGCUCUCGCUUCCCCGACUUUCUACCCAAAGGAGUCGGUAUGUAACCCCAAAACCCCACCCCCCACCUGCCCUUUGAAUUCAAUUAUAAGAAAAACUUAGAUAACAAGGAUAGUCUAAGUUGUGGAUUUAACUUAAGAAGGGCUUCCUUCUGAAGUUGCAAAGAGGAUGACAUUCGAAGAGCAGUUAAUAACAGAAACUUAAGUGUGAAGGAAAAACAACACCAGCACACCUUCAAGCACCCUCCAAGGGACUCUACCUAAAUCUCGGGACGAGAUUCCUUUAAGGGGGGAUGGCUGUAACACCCCAGGUGUUACUCAGGGUGUCCAUCCCAGGGUUACCCUCUUUUACCCAUUAUCACAUGAAGACUGAUUUGGGCAAAGUAUACCAAACUUGGAAUUCUAGGUCCUAAGCAAGUGUAAUCCACCUUGGAUGUCAUGCCCUAGCUUAUCAUGCACAUCUAAGUGGGGAUCUCCCAAAACCCUAAAGCAAAACCCCCAUAGGCAAUGGGAACCCUAAUUGAAGCCAUGAUCAAAAGAUUAUGUAAACCUUAUGAUCAUGGUUUGGGCCAAAUAUAAAAGUUGUAGUACACUUAAUAACCUACAAUUAAUAGUAAGGAAGUACCCCCAAAAAGUUUCCAGAAAAGCCCUAAACAGUUCACCUAAGAUUUAGCACAAGGGAAAAUUCAGUUUUUGCCUAAGUACAAAAACUAACCCUUGCACAAAGACUCCACAUGUUCACCUUAAUCCCCUUUUCAAAACCCUUCGACCCAAUUGACAAAAUGGCGCCAAAUUAACCCUAGGACACCCUGGAAAGAGAUGACACCUACCCUAGGGCGCUAGACACGACUUGACACCCCUUUUGUCUCGGUUCGGGCUUGGCUGACACAGCAAACUUCUCCCCUCUCUAUCUCCCUACCCCGACCAUAUCUCGACUUGGAACUCACAGCGAAAAGAUAGGAUUUGGAGCAGAGAAGCGACCGUACACAGUGACUUUGCCAAGAUACGCACGCUAUGGCGCUCUAAUCGGCCGUUGAACCAUGGCAGAAGCAAGCUUCCACGUGUUCGACGCGAGCUGGCAUCCGGGGGCGCGCUCAGAGCACGCCCGUGCGCGAACCCCCGCGCACCCGCGGCCGCCUGUGACCACGCCCGCGCCACGGCUAUAAAGCCCGCCCCAGUGCUUGGCUGCCUUCCCCGUUACCUCCUCCGUACCUCGCCGGACUCGCCCGAGCCAGCCAUUAACUCCGGCGACCUCCCCGCGACCCGCCAGUGCCGCCCGAGAGCAACCACCGUGGCCAGCCCCUCUCCCGUCCUCCUCCGUUCGAUCCAAGCCCUCAGAGAGCUUCCUGGUGAAGCCGUGAGUCUUGCUCAAGCUUGACCCAGGGACCCGCGUCACCGGAAUAGCCCAAUCGUGCGCACCGGAGUUCAAGAACCCGCCGGCGCACGUGGACCGGGUAAGCCCCUGCACCAUUUUCCAAUUCCUUGCGCGUAUGGCCUCUGUGUCACCCCGUGAAGCUCCUCGUGCACCCUAAUUGAUCUAUGCCGCCGUGGUUUGGCCGGAGCAGGAGCCGCCGACGACCCCCGCCGCCUGUGCUCGUGGCCAGGGUAGCUCCGACCACCUCCGACACCGACCCGCACAUCGGCGUGACCGUUGCGACCUCCUGGACGUCACUGACCACCCCGCCGGAGCUCUACUGCCGCCGGUAAGCCCCACCGCCGUAAAAUGUACCGCGGGCACUGUUUAAGCCGGUCAGGGAGCGCGGGUUAGAUUUUAGUUAAGUCCAGGGGGCUUGGCGCAAUGUCAGUGACUCAAGCCAAUAGUGGACCAAGGGCUGUUCUGUGAGAAAAGAAAAGGAAAAACCCCAGGGGCCUCGGCGUAAACACGUUUUCUUUUUCUAUUUUCGAAUUUCUUUUCUUUUGUUAAAACAGAUAGCUAAGUAAAUGCAUAACUUGCAGAAUAAUCAUCCAAAAAUGUUCAAACCAAUUUUGCUAGAUUCAGAAAUUUAUGAGCUAUCAGAGAAAAAUAAUAGAACCCAUAGCUUCUGUAUUUCUUUCUGAAGUUUAGAAUUAAAUAAGGAAACCACUCAAAACCCAAUAUUAGGAGGAAAAUAGGAAUAUUGUUUGACCAGGGUUAGAAAAAUUUGGAGAAACUUCUAUCUACCUACUAGACCAAGUAAAAAUGGUAAACCUCUCUAUCCACUCCAUUUAAGUUAGUUUUACCCUUUAUUCUAUAAUAUGCUUAAGAAUAAGGAAAAUAGAAAAUGCAACUUAAUUAAUGAACCAGAGAGUACUUCUAUUUUUGUUAGGUUACUUAUUCAAUAUAGUUCACUGGAAAAAUAUAUCAUACCUUGGUUUAGUACAAAUUAAGUAGGAUAUCUUUUAUUUUAUUAAAACAAGGAUAACUUAGAAAAACCCUACAAAAAUGACCCCAAGGUAAAAACACCCCCACCCUUGGGAUGACUAUUGUUUUAUUAGAGAGAACUUAGGAAAAAUAUGAAAUCUGCUGUUUGACAUUUUUCAAAUAAUAAUGUAGUAGAAAGUGCCUUUUUGACAUUAAACUUAAGAAAAGCAUAACUAAAUAACCACCCCUUAGUUUUCUGUAAUUUUUAGCACAGAAACCUAUUAUUACCAUAGGAUGCCAACAAAAAUACCUUUAGGGCAGAACCCACCCCUAACUAAGAGGUGUAGUGUGAAGUGGCCCAUUUUGCCUAACUUUUGUUAUUUUUGUUUAAAGCCUAACUUUUAUACUUUAAGCCUCAAAUUCUUAAAACAAGCUAGAAUAGCCAGUGAUAACCCACUGGAAUUUUUACAGAAUUUUUGGAAAAUUUUAAAACCCUGUUGUAGUUCAAACCUACCCCAGAAACCCUAAAUGGAAAUUAAGGAAAGGAAAAUGAAUAAUGGAAAUUUAUGUCAUCUUAAGACCUUUGUAAAUUGUCCACUGAAAUCUAUAAAGACAACACCAAUCCACUAUAAUAAUCUAAAAGAAAACCUAAUCUUAAAAGGUAAUAAGUCUAUAUCUAUGUAUACCACUGGAAGCCCAGCGUGACUAAGAAAACCCUAAGUUACUUCUUAACUUAGUUUCUUUAGCUUAUUGUUCUUAAAUCCUGCAUAAUCAUGACAUACAUGUUCAUUGCAUUUCGAUAGACUGUAAUCUUGCUGACGGAGAGUACAUCCUCGUGCCGGAGCAAGGAGCUGCUCAGGAGGUAGCCCUAGAUCCAGCACCCGAGCCUGCACCAGAGGACCUGCCUGCCACAGCUUUGGAAGGCAAGCCCUGGUUUUAUGCAUAACCUAUUAUUAUACCAUUUUACUUCACUUAAUGCUUGUAGGAUUGAUUGUGCAAUUAAGUGUAGGAAUUGUUUGAAACCCUAGUUGCAUGAUCUUAGGAAUCCCAUUGAGAUGAAUACUAGUAUGAUAGGUCGAGUAGUUGCUUUAUUUAAUUAGGAUCUCGGUAGAAGACGAGUGAUUUUUCUAGCACUCGCGCGAGAUCAGGGAUUUGACUGUACCCACUUUCACAUUAUCAUGGUACUGGUUGAUGGACAACAAUCCAUGGGGAUUGGUUGUCUACGAGAUGAAAUUUGAAUAAGGAUUAAGGUGUGGUACCGUGUGUCAAGCGUUUGAACGUACUAAACACAUACCGAGAAAUAUGGUAAAUCGGUAAGCCUAGUACCUGAUUGAACCUGGCAGUAGACUUUGCCCCUCACACGACCUGAGACGAGGUCUCCCAUUCCGGUUAUGGUGGGUACAAGUGCGGUCACUGCAUGACGGCCAGUCGGGGUCAGUGAGGCAUUGUACGCCAAGGCGGUGAGCCCUGUUCUGCUGACGGGGAAUCGAUGGGGACGGUUGAUAUGUGUGGGGACGGAGUGCCCCUGCAUGUCGUGUGUUUAGGUUUACCUUGCAAGGAUAAAAACUCGAUUCGAAUCGUCUGCUUCUCGCAGUUAAUGAGACUGCUUGAUCCAUGCUGCUACAUUGAGUAAUAAGUGGAAGUAUGAUGAGUUGAGAUAAGAUGUUGAUUGUUAAUAAUGCUUGCUACCAUGUAUGAGUAGAUAGUUCACUUUUAGCCUUAAGAGAGUCACACUUAACUUUGACUAAGUUAAAAUCUUAAUUUAGAAACUCAGCUAGUGCUUUUGGCAACCAAACCCCACAGCCAAACAGCUGCAUGUCUAGAGGUAGAGGAGUAGACUCCUCACACCGGGUAAGUCUAGCUGAGUAUUAGUAUACUCAGCCUUGCUUGUGGCAUAAUUUUUACAGGUUCUCUGGAGGAGAUGGUUGCUGGGAAAACUUGGCCGUCCACCUUGCCACCGGGUUGGACUGUUGAGUGGGACCCUGCCUCGGCCGAGGAGGAGCAUGAGGAGUGAUGGGACAGGCUUCCCCAUCUCUCUGUUUGAUUACCGUUAGUUUUAUUCCGCUGCACUUCGAACAAUGAUGGUUACUUUUGCAAAAACUCCGAUGAUGAUGAUGGUGAUGUAAUAAUUUAACAUUGUGACAUGAAUGGUUUUAUGCUUCAUUGUAUUUGCUCUGUGACUCACCUUCGAGUGAGAUUGUGGUACUUGAUCCUGUCAGUGGCCGUGUCGGACUAGAUCCGAGGGAUUGACGGGUUAUUCCCAUUUAAGUGUGGUCUAGCCUCUGAGGCGGGAUUUGGGCACUUAAGUUGGAAUAAUUCGGGCAGUUCCGCCACACAAGUCUUGUCUUAAGUCGAUCUUUUGGUGUGCUUUUUCCUGUUACCUCUUAUACCUUUGUAAUCACUAGAUCUUUCCAUGAUGCUUAUCUUAUGCCUACCUUUUGAAUCAUCAUCUUUCCCAUCUCGAUUUGAGAAUGGUGUUUUAUCUACCCUCACCUUGGUUGUAUUCUCUCUCUGUCGGUUACAAUCCUUGCUUUAGCCCCAUCCUUUAUUAUGCUCAUGCCCCUAUCCUGCAUGUCUUAUUAUUCCCCUUGCCUUUCGAUGGCCUUAGAGUAGUUUCCCCUUUGUAAGGAAAGACCACCAUCUAGUUAACAUUAACGUGUAGCAACGAGAUGUUUGUUGUUGUAUGCUUGUGCUGUUUGUCUUUGUGUUAUGACUGAUUUGCUUCUUUGUGAUGAGUGUUGGUGUGUUGUGGCCCCUAGGUCCGCAAUGACAUCCGUUUACUAGCUGAGUGCCAUAGAGUUAGGUAGCUGGGUGCUCUCCCUUUUCUCUUUAAUCCAUCUAUGCUUACCUUUGCUAUCUAUACCCUUCCCUCUUGCACCUAUCCGGCUGGCAUCCUGCAACCUCUCUUAAUCAGUCAAUAUCAUAGUCGGCAGCAUCUUCACCAAGUGUGUAUCAAUGCUUCUAGUAAGGGGGUUAGCUGCUAACCCCAAUGAAGACAAUGCGAUCAACAUCAACCAACAAGAUCAAAGAGGUGUAGUGAAAGCGUGUGUGGGUCCUAACCCACAGGUCCAAGGGAUCCUUAAGAAUUAUAUCAAUUGGUUGCGAGCAUCUGAAGGUCAAAGCAACCAGUCCACAAGUUAAGCUUUCAGAGUCAAAUUCAACUCAAGAAAGCCGUGAAAAACCUAUGAACCAACCUUGUUUUCUUGCUAGCGUCUUCCUGAAUCUCGGGGGGGGGGGCGAGAUUCCUGUUAAGUGGGUUAGAUUUGUAACACCAUGAAUUUGGGGGUAUAAAAUUUCUUUUCUAAUAUUCACCAAAUUCAGGUGUUACCCUCUCUUUUCCUUGUUUUUCUUUUUCUAAAUAGUGAAGAGUUAUUUUGUUUUAUAUCUAUGCAAAAUCCUAGAAAAAUAAAAUCUUAGAGGAACUUUGAUUGUUGCAUUCAUGCCGAUACAUAGUGUUUAUGAGUGCAAAAUGUUAUCAUUACAGAUGAAAAUAUAUCGAGGAUGUUCCCAAGAGUUUUUGGAAUCUUCGGAAGGUUUCUUCGGGUAUGAAAUAUGAAUUUCAGUUUUUCUAAUAUUAAUUAAAUACCUAAAAUGUGGUAGUUGUGAAAACUAUAAAAUUUUUGGAACUCGAUAAUAUAUAUAUAUAUAUAUAUAUAUAUUUCUUCCUCUCGUCGAACCUAUUCCAGAUCUCGUGCCCCUUUUCGCGAGAUUACUGAACCGCGUCUUCUCGCGAACAACAUGCUGCUCGCGUCGGCGAUCCUCCUCUAUCCUCGUCUUUCCCUUCGGCGUCCACCUCGUCAUCUUGGGCCCACGGGCCGGCUCUGAUCGUCUUCGUCUAAUUUUAUCUAACCCUGUCUACCACCCAUCUAACUCUGUCUAACCCUAUCUCGUGCAACUUGCCGCGCAGCUGUCUCUCUCGCUCGGCCAAGACAAGAGCCGUCGUGAAAUUGACAACCACCUCUCGUGCCCUCUCCUUUCUAUACAUACCCUCUCCUUUCUAUACAAUCGUACACCCUGCCAUGAACCCCUUCCCUCUUCCUUCUCACACAUGAGCAGCCCACGCGUUUUCCUCUCUAUGCAUUGUGCCUUCGUGGUCUUAGGGUCCACCUCGUCGUCUUCCUCGCGUCGUCGGAGGAGCAGCCCCAUCGUCUUCCUCGCGUCGUCUUCCUCUUCUUUGAUUGCCUGCUCGGCUGGUCUUCAUGUGUAGGUGACAAAUCCUCUCCUUCUCCCUCGUCUUCGCAUCCUUCUUCCUCGUCACUACGCAAACAUCAUGGCGGCCAAGGAGCUCACACCAAACUCCCUACUCACCUAGCGACGCAGCUGGCCUAGCCCCUCACCGGUGCGGCUUGGCGUGGCCCACACAGCUAGCCCGCCUCGCCCCCAGCCGAGCUCGUGCAGCCACCCUGUGUGACCCCUGGCUAGGCCGAUGUCUAGCCGAGCCUUCCCUGCCACGACACACCCUUGUAUGGUGCUGCUGCGCACCGCUCAGCCCCGACUCCGGCGAGCAGACACCACCGCCGUCAGCCCCACCCACCAUAGUGCAUGCCACGUCGGCAUCGCGCCCGCUCCGGUAGGCCAAUCCGUUUUCCUACUAUUGCCGUUCGUGCAGUAUGGAAUAGGAAAAAAAGGAAACCACCCCAUGUGGCCCCACCUGCAUGCUCAUUCGUUGCCUAGCGCCGUGGCGCGAUCUUCUCACUGCACACAUGAUCGCAGCACGGAAAGGAGAACCAUCGUAGACCCCUGCAUGUUCCUUCCUAUACGAUAUCAUCAUUGCACGUAAUGUGUGUGGGAAAGAAAACUGACAGCCACGUAUUAAUGCCUGGUUGGCCAUGUGCAACGCCGUUCCGUCUAUGGCCACACUAGAUCCGGUCGGUUUUUCUGUGUCUUCAAACCCGUGGCCAUCCGUGUGGUAAGUUUUAACCAAUGAAAAUACGCAGCAUCACAUUAAAUGCGCAAAAUAUUAAUUUUUUCAAUAUAUUUUACGUCGCAAACAUGAUUUGACUAGUUUCAGUCGCGUUAACUUUGUAACCUCGUCGUGUACGAGUUAGUAGCAUUGUUUUGUCGUAAACAUGUUUUAACUAAUUAAUUAAUUAUUUGUUAGUCUGAUUAAAACUAAUUUGUAAUUAAAUAUUAGCAUGAUUAAUGUCAGCGUAAAUGUUUUCGAACUAAUACUUGUUUAGUAUAAUCUCGUUAUCUGUUAGCUAGUAUCAAGCGUCGUCACACUAUCUGCGCACAUCGUCACGCUGCUCACGCGUGAUGUGCUCGUUGACGUGCAGAUUUGCGCGUCGUUCACGCUGGUCGCGCACACUGUUUCGUGCGUCGUCCGCGUGCUAUGUCGCACGUGGCCGCGCGUCGUUCACACGCUGUCGUGUUGUUUCGCUUUUCGUGAUUUCACCUCGCUUAGAAUCUCUCUUUUUAAUUAAAUUACUUAUUUAAUGAUAGUUGUUCGUGUAGCAGAUUAAUCAAACUAAAUAGUAGAUAUAAUUUAUAUUUGAUAAAGUCGAAUUAAAUGUUAUAGUUAAUACCUGUUUGGCAUAAAUGCGAUAACUUCUUGACCAUAGCUCCGAUUUCUGCUUUUCUUUUCCUCGCGCCGGCAUAGAAGCGAGCUUUAUUUUUUUAUUGCAUGCUUUAUAUUAUUGUAUCUUGUAUGAUGUAAUGUUCUUAUGCAAGUAUAUGUUUUCUUGUGCUUGUUUGUCUUCGUUGUGCGUCGCUAAUAGAUUGCGAUCUGUUCCUGAGCUUCGAGGAAUCGACAAUCAAGAUUUGGUGAACCUCUGGUCCUAAGAUGAAGUUCUUUGAGUCCUACAAAGUCGAAGACCCUGAGCAUCGGUUUGGUGAAGGCAAGUGUCCUCUGACCUAUUGUGUCUCAUUUACUUUAUAAUUCAUCAACCAGCAUUGUCACACCCGGAUUUCGGGGCACCAAGACCCGGGCGCGAACAUAAUCACCAGGUGUGCUGGGACCAAGUCUCACACAUAUGAUGAAUCAUGGCACAGGAUCAAAUGUCACAUCUUUACUAUAUAACAGGAGUUCUAUACAAAAUAAAUAAUUACAUUAUAAGGAGACAACGGACCAGCAAACCAAAGUUGACUGGGAGACGACGGCCUAGACCACUCACGAACUCGUCACAGCAUCCUCCAUGCGCCUCAUCCUGUGGUACCUGUUCUUGACCUGUGGGGGGGUGUGAGACAGCAAGAGUGAGCUCACAUACGUUCAUCGCUCAACAAGUUGUGGGGAAUAAUGUGCAUGAACUCGCCAAAGGUGGGAGCUCAUGUGAAGUGUAAGGCUUACCAAAGAGGAUGGUUAGAGCUGAGCAUUGCUUUUAAAGUUGGUCAAAAUUUUAUUAGCAAUUACUAAGUAUAAGUAAAUACCAACCCAAUUAAGUAGUAGAACCAAAAGUAACAACAUCACCUGCGAUGCAAUGCGUAUGACAAAUUGAAUUUAGUUCCAUAAAUUAAUCAUGUGAGGGUCCGAGCUGCUCAUGACCGUGAGCACGGCUAGUAUACCAGUUUUACACUCUGCAGAGGUUGCGCAUCUUUACCCACAAGUCAUGUUACCCAUCUGCCAAGGGAUCGCGACUUCCCAUACACCUCUACCGAGGAGGCGAGGCAGGGUAACACUACGAGGCCUUUACAAAGUUCCACUAGCUUCAGAAAACCCGCUACAGUUUAUAGGAAGCUCCAAUGCAGGAAUCCCUUGCAGGACCGCCAUCGCAGCAAAAUCCUCCCGAGGGCCUCCCUACACUGACCACUCCCCUACUGCCCUUGCCCCUUUCGGGUAAGGUAGUCCUCCACUAGCUUUCCUAAUUAAUCAGCCAAGGGCGUCCCAUUAUACCCCUGUGGUAGCACUGUUUUCCCGGGUGGUCGCUCCAUGUUCCAAUUAACAUAAUGAUCUUAUCAUGAACGAUAAAUAACAACGGAUAACAAAAGUAUAAUCAUGAGUAAUGUAUCUUCAUACCCAAAACCACAUAAAGCACUAGCAAGUACUACCCAAAAAGUUCAGUGGUAACAAGGUAUAAAGAUAAUCAAACUAGGGUAACCUAUUGGGUCCCAUCAAAAUUAACCUAUGCAGAUCAUUAUGAUUAAUCAGAACAUGGGUGGGUAAAAAAAAGUGAUCAAGGGCACAACUUGCCUGGGACUUGAGAUUCCAGGUACCAGGAUGAUCCACAGGUGACUCGUAACCUCGCGCUAGUCGUAGCAAUACAAACAAGCAUGGUAUAGGCAAAAAUUAACAUCACACCAAACAUAAGAAUAAACUACGCAAUAAUAAUCUACGCGAUGUUACGAGAUCGUAGAAACAAGAACCACUAAAUUCGGAGUUGCGGUUACCAAGAUAUGAAUUUCGGAAAUUAUUUAGUGCUUAGAAUAGAUUAAUCCAAAUGAAUAAUUUAAAUUCAAGUUUCAUGGCUAAACAAUGUUACUAGUUGGUAGACAAUAUUAAUACAAAAUUAUUGCAACUGGAAUGACUCAAUUUGGAGCUAAAAUGAAUUAUAUAUGAAUUUCUCAAGUUUCUAGAAUUGUUUUUGUACUAAAAACUAAUUUCUAUAAUUAUUUCUCUAUUUUUAAUCCCUUCUGGACUGGGCCUCGAAUUCCAGAAAAAUCAGGGGCUAGCGCGUAAGUUUUCCCGAGACUCAGAACACAGUGAACGUGGACGGCGGGUUUAUUAUGUGAAAACAGAGGGUCUCUUUAUGAAGUUUGCCACGCGAAGGGGUAUCCGGAAAUCCAGACCGUCCGAUCACUGCCCAUCGGCCCAGAUUAUGUCUACGCAGCAAAUAACGUAUAACUAUUUUCGACCACCAGAUCUAACAUCCACGGUUCUCAUUCUCUUACCCCUAGAUCUAAUCCUAGACGUCUGGAACCGAUCCAACGGUCACGAUGCCAUUAGCCGAACAGGUACGCCUGACCCGAUCCGAGACGUCCGCGGUUUGAUCAACAGCGCAGCGCCCAGCGACCUCCCCGCCCUAACCAGUACCGUCCACUUCCAGAUCGACGGACGCGCCCGCGUCUUCUACCUCACGGUUCUCUCUCUCUUCGAUUUCUUUUCUCAGCUAUACCGUCGCAACCGAGCGCCACAGACUCUGAACAAAAUGGACCUGGCCACCCCGCGCGGCCGCUUGCCGGCGAGCGCGCACGCCGAGGAUCCCCGCACGGCCCUCGCCACUGGCUCCCCACUACCGACCGCCAUCGCUAACGCUCUCAGAUCAACACCGAAGAAUGGUAACGCCGCGCCCCGCCACGACGAGCUAGCAAUCGGCUUCAAUAGUGGUAUGCACGCUACGCUAAUGAUGAUACGCCGAGCAGGUGCGAGCGAGGGGAAACGCUUACCGAUGACCACUCGAACAACGCCUUCGCGAUUUCACCCACCGCCGAGCGCAGUCGCAGAAGAAUCCCGACGGCAGCGGUGACCGGUCCGAGCUCCACUCUGGGUACCCGGCUCCUGCGGCGACCACCCGACCGCCUAGAGCAACGAACGGAGGUGAGGCGACGGCGGCGACCCCAACUCCCACGGCGAAUCCCGAGCUCCCCUCCCUCCUAGCCGGUAAGUUUGGCGCGGCGGCGGCGCUGAAACAGGGGAGACGGAGCCAGCACAGCGACUCUUUAUAGGCGUGGCCAGGUCGGGAUGAGGGUGGGUGCAACGGACCCAGCAAACCCGGCCGACGGGCGAGGAGGUGGUUGAGGUGUGCUGUUAGCGCGCGGCGGGAUCUACGGCAAGAGCUCCGGAGAGAAGAACGCACGAUAUCUGACAAGGCGGGCCCGCGUUCCAGAUAGCAGAAGGGAGAAGCGAGCGCACGCGGUUCCGUUUCCAGCUCGCAACCGAGAAGGACGGAAGACCUGACAAGGGUGGCCCACACGGGAGUGUCUAGUGCAAGGGAUAGGCUGCUUCGUGGGUCCCACGCGUCGAUGGCGUGAGCGAGUGCACGGCUGACCGAAGUGGUCCACCUGUCGGCACAUGCGAAGGAGAGAAGGCUGGGCUUGCGCGGAAGGAAUUCUCUUAUGGGUCGAAAAGCGCAGAUCUGGCCCAUGCGGCGAUUUUACCCUUUUUCUUUUUUCUUUAUUCUUUUCUCUUUUCUUUUUCAAAUUUAGGUUUUCAUUUCUACUUUUAGAUUUCAAAUUCAAAUUUGAAUUUCAGUUAUGGAUUUGUACUUAUAUCAAAAUGUGCCAAUUUACAUUUGGAGAUGAAGAGAAUGUAUUUAUGUAUAUAUUUAUUCCCUAUGUUUUAUGUGGUAUUUCUUUUCUUUUUAUUUUCAAAACCCUAUUUUCAAAUUUAGGGUUUGAUUCAACUUCUAGUAUUUAUUAUCUUAUUACCAUUAACAUUAUUAUUUUAUUUAAUGCACAAACAUAUAAACUCCAACAUGAUGCAUUUUUUUAUCAUUUGUUUGAAUUAAACUCCAAAUUUUGUGUAUGCUCUUUUUUUAUGAUGCAAAUGAGGCACAUCAAAUAAGGAAAACACUAUAUAUUCCUUGUACACAAUUUUGAGUAUUACAAAUCCUACCCCCCUUAAAAAUAAUCUCGUCCUCGAGAUUUGUAAGAAAAGGGAUGCAAAAGAAUUGGUUUGUAAUUCCGCUUUUAGUCUAUAGUUGGUUCAAAAAUCCAGAGUCUCAUUUUUUUAUAGUCAAUAGGGGUUGAUUAGGAGAGCCUAGGUAUCUAGUUACCUAUUAUAUAGGGUAUAAGCUGGACAAGUUGAGGUAAGAAAGAUUAUGACAAGGAAAAGACUUCACCAGCAAUGUUUAAGUCUUGAUUCAUCUCGAGAUUCACUUUGACUGUUUUAUCCUUCCUUGUCGAGGUCGAUCUUCUCUUCUCUGGUCUUGGUCUCAUUGAUUCGAGGUUAGUGUAUAUCAUCGGGGUUGGGGAAUAUGGUUAAGAUAGAUAUGGAUGAGAUAGACUACAUGAUGUAGGUCAAAAUCUUGUUUGAUGUUAGGUGGGGAUACACAAAUUGGAUAUAACUAGAUUAGACUAGUUAAGAUCUACUUAUUUUAGGAUAGAUCAUAGUUAUUACACCUAGUACGAGAUAAGCAAGGUAGUUAGGAUAUGACAAGAUAAGAUAGGAUAGAAUCUUUUAAGAUGAGAUGAAUCUAUUAAGAUAAGAGAAAAUCUUUUAAGAUAAGAUAUAUUUUAAUUAGGAUAAGUUAGGAUCUUUUCACAUAAGAUGGAUCUAUGAGUGUAGGAUAAAAUCUUUUAAGAUGAGAUGAAUAUUGUUAGGCUAGAUACUUUAAUGAGGGAUAACCUAGUUUACCUAGUUAUUUUUAUAAGCAUUUUUUUCGAUAUGUAUAUGCAUAUGUGAUUGUGGACAUUCCUCCACAACUCAUCACACUCAAUCAAAGAUCCAAAUCAGGCAAGUAUCCUAAGAACAAACAUUCAAGGGCACAAAUAAUUAUAAAAAAAUAGUUUUGUUUUUGUUCCUAAGAUGAGGUCUCCUAUUCCUAAAAGUCACUUUAGGCACAGGAUUUCAAAGUGUGAAAUCCACAUUUGUCUUUAGAAUGAAAAGGUAAGAAUAAUCAGAGUAAAGCGAAAAUAGAUGAGAAAAGAUUAAGAAAAGUUUAGAAAAGAAUUAGAGUAGCAAGGGUAAGUAAGUAUUGGUUGUCCAGUUCUAUCUAGGUUUCGUCCUACAGUCAACAUUCCUCUGAUACCACUUCUGUCACACCCGGAUUUCGGGGCACCAAGACCCGGGCGCGAACAUAAUCACCAGGUGUGCUGGGACCAAGUCUCACACAUAUGAUGAAUCAUGGCACAGGAUCAAAUGUCACAUCUUUACUAUAUAACAGGAGUUCUAUACAAAAUAAAUAAUUACAUUAUAAGGAGACAACGGUCCAGCAAACCAAAGUUGACUGGGAGACGACGGCCUAGACCACUCACGAACUCGUCACAACAUCCUCCAUGCGCCUCAUCCUGUGGUACCUGUUCUUGACCUGUGGGGGGUGUGAGACAGCAAGAGUGAGCUCACAUACAUUCAUCGCUCAACAAGUUGUGGGGAAUAAUGUGCAUGAACUCGCCAAAGGUGGGAGCUCAUGUGAAGUGUAAGGCUUACCAAAGAGGAUGGUUAGAGCUGAGCAUUGCUUUUAAAGUUGGUCAAAAUUUUAUUAGCAAUUACUAAGUAUAAGUAAAUACCAACCCAAUUAAGUAGUAGAACCAAAAGUAACAACAUCACCUGCGAUGCAAUGCAUAUGACAAAUUGAAUUUAGUUCCAUAAAUUAAUCAUGUGAGGGUCCGAGCUGCUCAUGACCGUGAGCACGGCUAGUAUACCAGUUUUACACUCUGCAGAGGUUGCGCAUCUUUACCCACAAGUCAUGUUACCCAUCUGCCAAGGGAUCGCGACUUCCCAUACACCUCUACCGAGGAGGCGAGGCAGGGUAACACUACGAGGCCUUUACAAAGUUCCACUAGCUUCAGAAAAACCCGCUACAGUUUAUAGGAAGCUCCAAUGCAGGAAUCCCUUGCAGGACCGCCAUCGCAGCAAAAUCCUCCCGAGGGCCUCCCUACACUGACCACUCCCCUACUGCCCUUGCCCCUUUCGGGUAAGGUAGUCCUCCACUAGCUUUCCUAAUUAAUCAGCCAAGGGCGUCCCAUUAUACCCCUGUGGUAGCACUGUUUUCCCGGGUGGUCGCUCCAUGUUCCAAUUAACAUAAUGAUCUUAUCAUGAACGAUAAAUAACAACGGAUAACAAAAGUAUAAUCAUGAGUAAUGUAUCUUCAUACCCAAAACCACAUAAAGCACUAGCAAGUACUACCCAAAAAGUUCAGUGGUAACAAGGUAUAAAGAUAAUCAAACUAGGGUAACCUAUUGGGUCCCAUCAAAAUUAACCUAUGCAGAUCAUUAUGAUUAAUCAGAACAUGGGUGGGUAAAAAGAAGUGAUCAAGGGCACAACUUGCCUGGGACUUGAGAUUCCAGGUACCAGGAUGAUCCACAGGUGACUCGUAACCUCGCGCUAGUCGUAGCAAUACAAACAAGCAUGGUAUAGGCAAAAAUUAACAUCACACCAAACAUAAGAAUAAACUACGCAAUAAUAAUCUACGCGAUGUUACGAGAUCGUAGAAACAAGAACCACUAAAUUUGGAGUUGCGGUUACCAAGAUAUGAAUUUCGGAAAUUAUUUAGUGCUUAGAAUAGAUUAAUCCAAAUGAAUAAUUUAAAUUCAAGUUUCAUGGCAAUAUUAAUACAAAAUUAUUGCAACUGGAAUGACUCAAUUUGGAGCUAAAAUGAAUUAUAUAUGAAUUUCUCAAGUUUCUAGAAUUGUUUUUGUACUAAAAACUAAUUUCUAUAAUUAUUUCUCUAUUUUUAAUCCCUUCUGGACUGGGCCUCGAAUUCCAAAAAAAAUCAGGGGCUAGCGCGUAAGUUUUCCCGAGACUCAGAACACAGUGAACGUGGACGGUGGGUUUAUUAUGUGAAAACAGAGGGUCUCUUUAUGAAGUUUGCCACACGAAGGGGUAUCCGGAAAUCCAGACCGUCCGAUCACUGCCCAUUGGCCCAGAUUAUGUCUACGCAGCAAAUAACGUAUAACUAUUUUCGACCGCCAGAUCUAACAUCCACGGUUCUCAUUCGCUUACCCCUAGAUCUAAUCCUAGACGUCUAGAACCGAUCCAACGGUCACGAUGCCAUUAGCCGAACAGGUACGCCUGACCCGAUCUGAGACGUCCGCGGUUUGAUCAACAGCGCAGCGCCCAGCGACCUCCCCGCCCUAACCAGUACCGUCCACUUCCAGAUCGACGGACGCGCCCGCGUCUUCUACCUCACGGUUCUCUCUCUCUUCGAUUUCUUUUCUCAGCUAUACCGCCGCAACCGAGCGCCACAGACUCUGAACAAAAUGGACCUGGCCACCCCGCGCGGCCGCUUGUCGGCGAGCGCGCACGCCGAGGAUCCCCGCACGGCCCUCGCCACUGGCUCCCCACUACCGACCGCCAUCACUAACGCUCUCAGAUCAACACCGAAGAAUGGUAACGCCGCGCCCCGCCACGACGAGCUAGCAAUCAGCUUCAACAGUGGUAUGCACGCUACGCUAAUGAUGAUACGCCGAGCAGGUGCGAGCGAGGGGAAACGCUUACCGAUGACCACUCGAACAACGCCUUCGCGAUUUCACCCACCGCCGAGCGCAGUCGCAGAAGAAUCCCAACUGCAGCGGUGACCGGUCCGAGCUCCACUCUGGGUACCCGGCUCCUGCGGUGACCACCCGACCGCCCAGAGCAACGAACGGAGGUGAGGCGACGGCGGCGACCCCAACUCCCACGACGAAUCCCGAGCUCCCCUCUCUCCUAGCCGGUAAGUUUGGCGCGGUGGCGGCGCUGAAACAGGGGAGACGGAGCCAGCACAGCGACUCUUUAUAGGCGUGGCCAGGUCGGGAUGAGGGUGGGCGCAACGGACCCAGCAAACCCGGCCGACGGGCGCGGAGGUGGUUGAGGUGUGCUAUUAGCGCGCGGCGGGAUCUACGGCAAGAGCUCCGGAGAGAAGAACACACGAUAUCUGACAAGGCGGGCCCGCGUUCCAGAUAGCAGAAGGGAGAAGCGAGCGCACGCGGUUCCGUUUCCAGCUCGCAACCGAGAAGGACGGAAGACCUGACAAGGGUGGCCCACACGGGAGUGUCUAGUGCAAGGGAUAGGCUGCUUCGUGGGUCCCACGCGUCGAUGGCGUGAGCGAGCGCACGGCUGACCGAAGUGGUCCACCUGUCGGCACAUGCGAAGGAGAGAAGGCUGGGCUUGCGCGGAAGGAAUUCUCUUAUGGGUCGAAAAGCGCAGAUCUGGCCCAUGCGGCGAUUUUACCCUUUUUCUUUUUUCUUUAUUCUUUUCUCUUUUCUUUUUCAAAUUUAGGUUUUCAUUUCUAUUUUUAGAUUUCAAAUUCAAAUUUGAAUUUCAGUUAUGGAUUUGUACUUAUAUCAAAAUGUGCCAAUUUACAUUUGGAGAUGAAGAGAAUGUAUUUAUGUAUAUAUUUAUUCCCUAUGUUUUAUGUGGUAUUUCUUUUCUUUUUAUUUUCAAAACCCUAUUUUCAAAUUUAGGGUUUGAUUCAACUUCUAGUAUUUAUUAUCUUAUUACCAUUAACAUUAUUAUUUUAUUUAAUGCACAAACAUAUAAACUCCAACAUGAUGCAUUUUUUUAUCAUUUGUUUGAAUUAAACUCCAAAUUUUGUGUAUGCUCUUUUUUUAUGAUGCAAAUGAGGCACAUCAAAUAAGGAAAACACUAUAUAUUCCUUGUACACAAUUUUGAGUAUUACACGCAUACCAUGAUCAACCUAAGGAUUGACUAGUAUUCUGUUUUCAUGUCCUUGUUUACCCUUUGGGUAUUGAUUAUUAUGAUUAGCUCUAUGCUAGCGCUUUACUUUUAAUCAAUGAACAUGAUGAGAUACAAUGAUGAUACUAUGAUUUUUUUCUGGAUAUGAUGAUAUACUUGUGGCAUUUUAGGGGACUCGAGCGGUUUCUCGAGCGCCUCUCCAUAAGGACUUGUUUGUUGGAUGACCACCCGGGAAAAUAGUGCAACCAUGAGGGUGGUAUGGACGCCCUUAGCUAAUUAAUUAGAGGAACUGAGGUGUAGUUCACUUCGCCGUCGUGCCGUCAAUGGGCUAGGUGUAUGCGGCUCGCUCUGCCGAGGGUGGAUUGCCCCUUGGGGAGGAGUGUAGUACAUUUAGGAAACCUAACGGGCGGCUACACCCUCAGGGAAUCUUUGUAAGGGCUUCGUAGUGAAUCCUUGGCCAUUCACCUCGAGAGUGAAUAAGGGUCUUGCAAGCCCGGGCUAGAGAAGGAAUCACGACUCGUGGGUAAAGUGCGCAACCUCUGCAGAGUGUUAUGAAACUAAUAUAUCAGGCGUGCUCGCGGUUAUGAGCGGCCUUGGGAGCUCCAUUGAUUAGAGACACAUUGAAUCAGGACUACUUUGUUUAUAGAUGAUGAUGAGGAUAAUGCUGGUUUCUAUUGUGAUUAUGAUUAUGGUUUCUGGUAUUCCUUCCGUUUGGAAAGAGUACUUUUGGGUUAACAACUUGGGUUAAUGUUAAAACCUGGCUAUCUACUAGUAAUAAUUACCUGAUCAACUAAAAGCAACUGCUUGACCUUAACCCCACAUAAAGCUAGUCCACUACAGCCAAACGGGACAUUUGUUGAGUACGUUGAUGUGUACUCACCCUUGCUUUCACAAAACACCAGGUUGCCUUUGGUGCAAUCUAUGCUCAGGUAAAGAAGGUGUCGAGGUGGAUCUCCAGGAGUUCCAGGACUUCGACGAGUUUGAGGAUUAGGCUAGCGACAUCCCCCAGUCAGCUGCCUGUGGUGGGUUAAUUUACGUUGGCUACGUUUCAAUUCUGUGUACUUUGAUUUAUAUUAUGUAAAUGACUCUAGUCUUUAAUAUUAUUACUUACUCUUUAUUGUUAUUCGAAGCAUUGUGCUAUGAUGAGUCAUUUAUGUAAUCGCUAUGUACGUGAGUUCUGAUCCUAGCACGUACAUGGUUCGCAUUCGGUUUACCUUCUAAAACCUGGGGUGACAGGUGGCAUAGCAGGAGUGGAGGGCAGCGACGGUUGCACAGCUCUGCGUGCAGUGGCUUGCAUUGUUUGCUCCUCGUUGGCGAUGCGUGUGCGACCAUGAGCUCUCGACACAGGUAGGUAGUAGUAGAGCCAGAAUUGUAACCUUGGGUUUUCCCACACCUCAAAUAGAUAUAGAUAUAGGGAUAUAGAUAGAUAUAGCAAAUUCACCAAAUAAUAUAGGGGUAUAGAUAUAGAUAUAAUAAGGGGUAUAGAUAUAGAUAUAGAUAUAUAGAAGAUAUAGAUAGAUAGAUAGAUAGAUAUGAUAGAAUAGAUAACUUACAAUUUUGUCUAAAAGAAACUAAAUCACUGCUAAGUUUGGAGUAGCAUAUCUUUGGUGAAUACUUGCUAGUGAAUUGGUUUCCGCUAUAGUAUAUAUAUAUAAGUAUACACUCUUAUAGGAUUAUAGUAUAUAUAUAUAAGUAUACACUCUUCUAGGAUCAAUCGUGAGGAGUUCAUUAAAUUGUCUUGCGACAUGGAGUACAGAAAGAGGGUGGAUGCGCUAGUGUUUUUCUCGUUACUUCUCCUCGGAUACUUUGCUGCUCAUGCACAUGGGAAGGGUAAGUGAAAACUAUACAGACAUGUGUGUGCAUGCUUAGAUAGAUCUAGACAAUUUAGAAGAUGUUAUUAUAUGAUACCGUGUGUAUCAUGGCGAAUUGCUAAUGUAUCGCAAUCCCCUGUGUUAAAUUACUCAAAUAAUUUCGAAUGUAAUUAUUCUCGAGGCAUUUGUUGGUAAUAGAACUCUUAUCCUAUACCUUCUACUAGGUCAUGUCACAGAUGAUGUCAGUGUUUCUACUCCAGCUAAAGAAGGAAUUAUGCAAGGAAACGGAGCAUGGUGCGUUGUAGGGUUUCCUCCAUGCAAAGAUAACAAGUGCUACUGCUGCAUUGGGGGGCGAACUCAUGCUCGCUACUCUACGAUGGCUGAGUGUAGACAUGCCUGCUUCUAAACAAAAAUUAAGAUCGCUGUUAUUAUAUACAUUGUAAUGGUAGGUAAUGCUAUUAAUAAUAUAUGGGAAUUUUAGUUUUGGUAUUAUACUUUUUUCCAAUUCACAAAAUUUAGUCAAAAUCUAACCAAUUUUUU